UGAAGUAAGUAAGGGCGUACGGUGAAUGCCUUGGUGCCAACAGGCGAAGAAGGACGCGGCAAGCUGCGAAAAGCCUCGGGAAGCUGCAAGCAAGCGAUGAUCCGGGGAUAUCCGAAUGGGGUAACCUGAUCGAGGCAAUACUCGAUCGUUCAUACCUGAAUACAUAGGGUAUGAAACGCGAAACCCGCUGAAGUGAAACAUCUCAGUAAGCGGAGGAAAAGAAAGAGAAAUCGAUUCCGUAAGUAGUGGCGAGCGAAAGCGGAUGGAGCCCAAACCGAAGGUAUUCCUUCGGGGUUGUAGGACCACGUCAUAUUCGACCAUACUGGAUAGUAGAACAGCCUGGAAAGGCUGGCCGGAGAAGGUGAAAGCCCUGUAGACGAAAUCCAGAGUGGGAAUUAGUGGUAUCCUGAGUAAUACAUCACACGUGGAACGAUGUAUGAACCCGCGCGGACCACCGCGCAAGGCUAAAUACUAGUUGGCGACCGAUAGUGAACAAGUACCGCGAGGGAAAGGUGAAAAGAACCGCUGUGAGCGGAGUGAAAUAGAACCUGAAACCGUAUGUCUACAAAGUGUCAGAGCAGAGCAAUCUGCGAUGGCGUGCCUUUUGUUUAAUGAGUCUGCGAGUCAGUGUUUGUGGCAAGACUAAGGGCUUCCGGCCCGGAGUCGCAGCGAAAGCAAGUCCGAACAGGGCGCAAUAAGUCGCAGGUACUGGACCCGAAGCGGAGGUGACCUACCCUUGGCCAGGUUGAAGCAUGGGUAAAACCAUGUGGAGGACCGAACAGGUGAACGUUGAAAAGUUCUCUGAUGAGCUGAGGGUAGGAGUGAAAGGCUAAUCAAACCCCGUGAUAGCUGGUUCUCUUCGAAAUGCAUUUAGGUGCAGCGUCACGUGCUGAUGCGCGGGGGUAGAGCACUGACAAGGCUAGGGGGCACACCCGCUUACCAAACCUUAUCAAACUCCGAAUACCGUGCAAUGGAACGUGGCAGUGAGACAGUGGGGGAUAAGCUUCAUUGUCGAGAGGGAAACAACCCAGACCAGCAGCUAAGGUGCCUAAAUAACGCUCAGUGGAAAGGAUGUGGGAUUACACAGACAGUGAGGAUGUUGGCUUAGAAGCAGCCACCAUUUAAAAAAUGCGUAAUAGCUUACUCAUCGAGUGAUCCUGCGCCGAAAAUGAUUGGCGAUCAAGCGUUAUACCGAAGCUCUGGACUUUGCCGCAAGGCAGAGUGGUAGAAGAGCGUUGCAUGCGCGUCGAAGGGCGAUGGCGACUGACCCUGGAGCACAUGCAAGUGAGUAUGCAGACAUGAGUAACGUUAAGCCGGGUGAAAUCCCCGGCCGCCGUAAACCCGAGGUUUCCAGGGCAACGUGUUUCGUCCCUGGGUUAGCCGGGACCUAAGCCGAGGCCGAGAGGCGUAGGCGAUGGACAUCAGGUUAAUAAUCCUGAGCUCGCAACCCUUAAACUGGGGGGACGCAUGAGAAAAGAUGACUAGGUUAUUGAAUUCCGAGUUGAGUCCACGGACUCAGCGCAUCAUUGGAUCGAGUGCCAAGAAAAGCCCCAGCGUAUGCUAAGCGACCCGUACCGCAAACCGACACAGGUGGGUGGGUAGAAUAUACCAAGGCGUAAGAGUGAAACCUGGUUAAGGAACUCGGCAAAUUGACCCCGUAACUUCGGAAGAAGGGGUGCCUGCAGCGAUGCAGGCCGCAGAGAAAUGGCCCAACCGACUGUUUAUCAAAAACACAGCACUCUGCAAAGACGCAAGUCGAAGUAUAGGGUGUGACACGUGACCAAUGCCGAAAGAUUAAGGCAAGGGGUUAGCCGCAAGGCGAAGCUCUAAACCCAAGUCCCGGUGAAUGUCGGCCGUAACUAUAACGGUCCUAAGGUAGCGAAAUUCCUUGUCGGGUAAGUUCCG
rnacentral:rRNA from 1 species